rnacentral:rRNA from 1 species
GACAGAGGUGCCGAGCGUUAGGCGGAAUCACUGGGCUUAAAGCGUGUGUAGGCGGACCGUUAAGUGUCUUGUGAAAUCCCACGGCUCAACCGUGGAACUGCUGGGUAUACUGGUUGUCUUGAGCCAGCUAGGGGCGAGCGGAACAGACGGUGGAGCGGUGAAAUGCGUAGAUAUCGUCUGGAACGCCGAAGGUGAAAACAGCUCGCUGGGGCUGCGCUGACGCUGAGACACGAAAGCCAGGGGAGCGAACGGG